GACGUAGGGUGCAAGCGUUAAUCGGAAUUACUGGGCGUAAAGCGUGCGCAGGCGGUUAUGUAAGACAGGUGUGAAAUCCCCGGGCUUAACCUGGGAACUGCAUUUGUGACUGCAUAGCUAGAGUACGGUAGAGGGGGAUGGAAUUUCGCGUGUAGCAGUGAAAUGCGUAGAUAUGCGGAGGAACACCGAUGGCGAAGGCGGCGUCCUGGACCAACACUGACACUGAUGAGCGAAAGCCAGGGGAGCAAACGGG
rnacentral:rRNA from 1 species